UAUAUAUAUAUAAUUGGACUUAGAAACUAGUCUUGAUUCGUUGGUAUCCUUCAUUGAUUUCGUUAGCGACAUUAGCAAACGUUAUUGAUGUUAAAGAUAUUUUUAAUACACAAUUCUUAAUUUUUAAUUAAGAAAAAGAAAACUUGUUUGUUAAGUUUAAUAACAAUAAAAUCUGAUAUAUAUAUAUAUAAUAUGUAUAAAAUUAAUUUAUUGUAUAUUCAAAUGGCUUCUGAUAUAAUUGGGAAUCAAAUAAAAAAUUGAGAUAUUACAUUAUCCAACAGUUAAAAAUAAGAAAGUGGAAAGAAGAUGGAGCAGUGAGUGGUAUAAUAAUUAUUAAUUCUUUUUUUGUGCUAUGUUUUAGGUAUUUUAAUUGAGGUAACUUUUUUUUGGUAACAUUAUACAGGGAAAAUAUUAUUAUUAAGGUAUAUUCGAGAUCGAAAAGGUUCCAAAUAAGAUACUUUUAAUAGCUAUAUUAUUCAUUUUCUUUUUUUGUCUCUCUCUCGUUUCUUUCAGGGUAGCAUUUAGCGUGCGAUCGAUAUCAUGAAGUUAUUUUCAUACGAAAAUACUAAAUUAAAUAAUAUUAAUUUCGUUAUAUAUCGUAUGAAUGCAAUAUUGAGAUUCUUUUGCAAUAACAUGCGGUCAAUAAUAUUCAGCGUUACUCCGUUAUAUUAUUAUUAUUAUUAUUAUUAUUAUUAUUAUUAUUAAAAAAUGAUAUCAAUUUUAUUACGUAUUUCUAUAUCUGUUAAAUCCAAUAAUGGAAUAUUUUAGAUAUAACGUUGAUAUGAAAUAAAAGAAAUAUCACGUAGAUUCUUUGAAAAUAGAAGAGAAGAACGAAAAGAGAAAAAUGUUUUUCAAGUGAAUAGAAAAAGGAAGAAAAAAAAAGAAAAAAAAGGAAAAGAAGAAGUAGGGUGAGGUGGGUAGGGGAGGAGAGGAGAGGAGAGGGGGAGAUGGAAUCUCCACAAUGAUGUUUUUAGUAUCCUCUAACAACAGCAGGUAGUUAACAUCUGUCCAUCGAUCGUUAUCCACCGAGUGAUUUUUCUUCGAGGGAAAAUGAAUUUCAUCUCCGUUGAGGCUUUCAUUUAUAAAACUACGAUGAAAAAAAAAAAAAAGAAAAAAGAAGAAAAAAGAGGAGGAGUAUGAGUAGGAGGAGAAAAGAAAAAUAAUAAUAAUAAUAAGAAGAAGAAGAAGAAAUCAUUAUUACUUUCAGUAAAUUGUAGAAGAAAAGGAAUUUUUCUUGAAUCGUUAAAAAGAUUUUCUCAUUUCGUUGUUUUAUUAUCGUUUAUUAUUAUUAUUAUUAUUACUAUUAUUAUUAUUAUUAUUAUUUUUUAUUGUUAUUGUUACUAUUCCAAGUAUUAUUGUUAUUGCAAUUUUUUUGCUGUUAUUGUAUUGUGUUGUUGUUGUUGCUGUUGUCGUUGUCGUUGCUCUUAUUUUUGAAGUACCCUCGAGCAUUCGAGAAAGAUGGAUAAUGGAUUUAUAUCAAAGAGAAAAGUUUUCAAAUAUAAAAAGUUGUAAAACGACAGGGAAAUAACAUUGUAGUAAAUCUUUGCGUGGUAAAUAAAUUUUGCUUUUUUCUUUUC